UUUUCCUCCUCCCCAGGAAGGUCUUCCCGGCUGCCUGACCCAGGGCUGCUGCAGCUCCAGCCCUGUGGGGAAGCCUCGCAGUCCUGGCAGCCUCUGGAAGUUGAACAUUCCUGAGAAAUGCUCUGGAUGUUCAUGAAAUACCUCCAGCCCCCCCAUCGAGUAGACAUCAUCCUCAUGGCCAUCAAGAACAUGAAAGGCCCAGGGCAGUACAGCAGGAGCUGUCUACCUACAUGGUAGACAUCCUUGUGAGCCAACCUGUCUUCCAUACACAGCAUGGAUGACUUCCCCUCCACCAAGCAGCCCAUGCCCAUGC